CAGCUCCAAUAGCGUAUAUUAAAAUUGUUGCAGUUAAAAAGCUCGUAGUUGAAGUUCUGCURAAAGUAACCGGUCUGCUUUUAAUAAAGGUGGUAUCUUGGUGUGUAUUUAGCAAUGAUGUCCUUUGAAGUGUUUUUUACUUUAUUGUAAUAAAGCAUAUUCAGGACUUUUACUUUGAGAAAAUUAGAGUGUUUCUAGCAGGCUAACGCUUUGAAUACUGCAGCAUGGAAUAAUAAGAUAGGAUUUUAGUUCUACAUUAUUGGUUUUAAGAGCUAAAUUAAUGAUUGAUAGGGACAGUUGGGGGCAUUUGUAUUUAACUGUCAGAGGUGAAAUUCUU
rnacentral:rRNA from 1 species